rnacentral:lncRNA from 1 species
GUUGUAGGGCUUGAAGGGCCGGUCCCGCCAAGAGCCACUGGGGGAGGAUGCAAGGGCCUGUAGGUCUUCAGAGUCCUGUGGCCAGGGGAAGGAAGGGGACGCCACUGCCAUCUCCUCCUAGAGGACUUCCUUGAUCUCCCGUCUGAUGAGGAUCCCCAUGCUACCUACCAAGUCACUCUGCUUUAUUUCCAUCCUGACAUUUAUCACUACCUGAAAUCCUCCUAUGUGACCAUGCUGUAUCUCCCUGUAUUCACUCACUGAUUCAUUCAACACUUACUGAGAACCUAAUGUGUGCCAGGGUCUGUUCAAGGUGCUAAGUACACGACUGAGUGAUGAUACUAGGGAAAGUCUAGCAGAUUUAUUCUGUGCCAGGCUCUGUUCUGCAAAAGUCUCCCCACAAGCCCCGGAAAGAGGGCAGUUUUUUUUAUUUGUUUGUUUGUUUUCCUUUUUUGAGACAGAGUUUUGCUCUUGUUGCCUAGGCUAGAGUGCAAUGGCACGGUCUCAGCUCACUGCAUCCUCCACCUCCCAGAUUCAAGCGAUUCUCCUGCCUCAGCCUCCAGAGUAGCUGGGAUUACAGGCACCCGCCACCACACCCGGCUAAGUUUUGUAUUUUCAGUAAAGACGAGGUUUCACCAUGUUGGCCAGGCUGGUCUCGAACUCCUGACCUCAGGUGAUUUGCCCGCCUCGGCCUCCCAAAGUGCUGGGAUUACAGGCAUGAGCCAUCGUGCCUGGCCCCUUUUUCUUUGAGAUGGGGGUCUCUCUAUGUUGCCCAGGCUGGCCUUGAAUUCAUGGAUUCAAGUGAUCCUAACACUUCAGCCUCCUGAGUAGCUGGGAUUACACACGUGAGCCACACACUUGGCCCAGGCUAUUUUAUAGAUAAGGAAACGGAGACCAGCAAAGGCCAGGUGACUUGGCCAAGGUCAUAAAACUAGUUAAGUGACAGAGCCCGAACUUCAGUUAGGCAUCCCAGCUCUAGUCUCUUCUCUCUGCCACUCUGUGUCUGCUCAAAGGGGACAUUUGUCCUGUGAGAGGACGGCCCCUAGCCCAUCUAGGUUCCAGAGGCCUGUCUGGUGUGUGUUCAUUAAACUUUGGACCACACUAAGGACAGUGAAAGAAAUGAACAAGCACCAAAGAUGAAGACUAGGGGCGAUGGGCUUCAUGGAACUCAAGGGGAGAGGAGGGCUGUCAGGGUGGCCUCUUUAAGGGGACACAGGAGAGAGACUUGAUGAGGAGCCUAUCUUGAAGAUCAGAGGGAAAACAGUUCUCAGCAGAAGGGUCCUCAUGGGCAAAGACCCCAAGGCACGUAGGCUUGACAACUAUGGCAUUAAGCGAGCUGGGAGGAAACUGGCCACACCUGUGCUUGGUGUGGGCAAGAUGUCUCCCUCCCACCAUGCCUCCACCAUGCUUCGCAGGUGGUGGGGGCCUGAGCCUGCAGGGGGCACCCACUCACACUUCAGCCAACAGCUUCCUCUUCCUCAGC